UUAAGCGACUAAGCGUACACGGUGGAUGCCCUGGCAGUCAGAGGCGAUGAAGGACGUGCUAAUCUGCGAUAAGCGUCGGUAAGGUGAUAUGAACCGUUAUAACCGGCGAUUUCCGAAUGGGGAAACCCAGUGUGUUUCGACACACUAUCAUUAACUGAAUCCAUAGGUUAAUGAGGCGAACCGGGGGAACUGAAACAUCUAAGUACCCCGAGGAAAAGAAAUCAACCGAGAUUCCCCCAGUAGCGGCGAGCGAACGGGGAGGAGCCCAGAGCCUGAAUCAGUGUGUGUGUUAGUGGAAGCGUCUGGAAAGGCGCGCGAUACAGGGUGACAGCCCCGUACACAAAAAUGCACAUGCUGUGAGCUCGAUGAGUAGGGCGGGACACGUGGUAUCCUGUCUGAAUAUGGGGGGACCAUCCUCCAAGGCUAAAUACUCCUGACUGACCGAUAGUGAACCAGUACCGUGAGGGAAAGGCGAAAAGAACCCCGGCGAGGGGAGUGAAAAAGAACCUGAAACCGUGUACGUACAAGCAGUGGGAGCCUCUUUUAUGGGGUGACUGCGUACCUUUUGUAUAAUGGGUCAGCGACUUAUAUUCUGUAGCAAGGUUAACCGAAUAGGGGAGCCGAAGGGAAACCGAGUCUUAACUGGGCGUUAAGUUGCAGGGUAUAGACCCGAAACCCGGUGAUCUAGCCAUGGGCAGGUUGAAGGUUGGGUAACACUAACUGGAGGACCGAACCGACUAAUGUUGAAAAAUUAGCGGAUGACUUGUGGCUGGGGGUGAAAGGCCAAUCAAACCGGGAGAUAGCUGGUUCUCCCCGAAAGCUAUUUAGGUAGCGCCUCGUGAAUUCAUCUCCGGGGUAGAGCACUGUUUCGGCAAGGGGGUCAUCCCGACUUACCAACCCGAUGCAAACUGCGAAUACCGGAGAAUGUUAUCACGGGAGACACACGGCGGGUGCUAACGUCCGUCGUGAAGAGGGAAACAACCCAGACCGCCAGCUAAGGUCCCAAAGUCAUGGUUAAGUGGGAAACGAUGUGGGAAGGCCCAGACAGCCAGGAUGUUGGCUUAGAAGCAGCCAUCAUUUAAAGAAAGCGUAAUAGCUCACUGGUCGAGUCGGCCUGCGCGGAAGAUGUAACGGGGCUAAACCAUGCACCGAAGCUGCGGCAGCGACACUGUGUGUUGUUGGGUAGGGGAGCGUUCUGUAAGCCUGUGAAGGUGUACUGUGAGGUAUGCUGGAGGUAUCAGAAGUGCGAAUGCUGACAUAAGUAACGAUAAAGCGGGUGAAAAGCCCGCUCGCCGGAAGACCAAGGGUUCCUGUCCAACGUUAAUCGGGGCAGGGUGAGUCGACCCCUAAGGCGAGGCCGAAAGGCGUAGUCGAUGGGAAACAGGUUAAUAUUCCUGUACUUGGUGUUACUGCGAAGGGGGACGGAGAAGGCUAUGUUGGCCGGGCGACGGUUGUCCCGGUUUAAGCGUGUAGGCUGGUUUUCCAGGCAAAUCCGGAAAAUCAAGGCUGAGGCGUGAUGACGAGGCACUACGGUGCUGAAGCAACAAAUGCCCUGCUUCCAGGAAAAGCCUCUAAGCAUCAGGUAACAUCAAAUCGUACCCCAAACCGACACAGGUGGUCAGGUAGAGAAUACCAAGGCGCUUGAGAGAACUCGGGUGAAGGAACUAGGCAAAAUGGUGCCGUAACUUCGGGAGAAGGCACGCUGAUAUGUAGGUGAAGUCCCUCGCGGAUGGAGCUGAAAUCAGUCGAAGAUACCAGCUGGCUGCAACUGUUUAUUAAAAACACAGCACUGUGCAAACACGAAAGUGGACGUAUACGGUGUGACGCCUGCCCGGUGCCGGAAGGUUAAUUGAUGGGGUCAGCGCAAGCGAAGCUCUUGAUCGAAGCCCCGGUAAACGGCGGCCGUAACUAUAACGGUCCUAAGGUAGCGAAAUUCCUUGUCGGGUAAGUUCCGACCUGCACGAAUGGCGUAAUGAUGGCCAGGCUGUCUCCACCCGAGACUCAGUGAAAUUGAACUCGCUGUGAAGAUGCAGUGUACCCGCGGCAAGACGGAAAGACCCCGUGAACCUUUACUAUAGCUUGACACUGAACAUUGAGCCUUGAUGUGUAGGAUAGGUGGGAGGCUUUGAAGUGUGGACGCCAGUCUGCAUGGAGCCGACCUUGAAAUACCACCCUUUAAUGUUUGAUGUUCUAACGUGGACCCGUGAUCCGGGUUGCGGACAGUGUCUGGUGGGUAGUUUGACUGGGGCGGUCUCCUCCUAAAGAGUAACGGAGGAGCACGAAGGUUGGCUAAUCCUGGUCGGACAUCAGGAGGUUAGUGCAAUGGCAUAAGCCAGCUUGACUGCGAGCGUGACGGCGCGAGCAGGUGCGAAAGCAGGUCAUAGUGAUCCGGUGGUUCUGAAUGGAAGGGCCAUCGCUCAACGGAUAAAAGGUACUCCGGGGAUAACAGGCUGAUACCGCCCAAGAGUUCAUAUCGACGGCGGUGUUUGGCACCUCGAUGUCGGCUCAUCACAUCCUGGGGCUGAAGUAGGUCCCAAGGGUAUGGCUGUUCGCCAUUUAAAGUGGUACGCGAGCUGGGUUUAGAACGUCGUGAGACAGUUCGGUCCCUAUCUGCCGUGGGCGCUGGAGAACUGAGGGGGGCUGCUCCUAGUACGAGAGGACCGGAGUGGACGCAUCACUGGUGUUCGGGUUGUCAUGCCAAUGGCACUGCCCGGUAGCUAAAUGCGGAAGAGAUAAGUGCUGAAAGCAUCUAAGCACGAAACUUGCCCCGAGAUGAGUUCUCCCUGACCCUUUAAGGGUCCUGAAGGAACGUUGAAGACGACGACGUUGAUAGGCCGGGUGUGUAAGCGCAGCGAUGCGUUGAGCUAACCGGUACUAAUGAACCGUGAGGCUUAACCU
rnacentral:rRNA from 1 species